UAAUACGGAGGAUGCGAGCGUUGUUCGGAAUCACUGGGCUUAAAGGGCAUGCAGGCGGAACAGAAGGUGCUUUGUGAAAUCCCUCGGCUCAACCGAGGAAUGGCUGGGCAAACCGCUGUUCUUGAGGCAGGUAGAGGCGACUGGAACCUUUGGUGGAGAGGUGAAAUUCGUAGAUAUCAAAGGGAACGCCGGUGGCGAAAGCGGGUCGCUGGGCCUGUCCUGACGCUCAUAUGCGAAAGCGUAGGUAGCGAACGGGAUUAGAUACCCCGGUAGUCUACGCCGUAAACGAUGCGCACUAGGUACGAGAACCUCUGACGGUCUUCGUGCCGGAGCAAAAGUGUUAAGUGCGCCGCCUGGGGAGUACGGCCGCAAGGCUA
rnacentral:rRNA from 1 species